GUGUCAAUUUGUAGCCCAGUUUUUCUCCAAGAGAGAUGAAUCAGUCAGCAGCAGUUCUAACCCCGAUACCAGUAUAACCUCUCUCCUGUCCCAGUGAAAAAGGUGAGCAACAUUGUGUUCAGUGAUGAGCUAGUUAGCUUCAUUUCAUUGAGUGAUAGGGUUUUCUCCCACUUUGCCCUUUUUAGAAUUACACAACUAAAACAACAUAUUUAUUACUGAUAGAAAUUCAAACAAUCUUUAUAAAAUAAUAAUAAAA